rnacentral:rRNA from 1 species
GAUGAACGCUGGCGGCGUGCCUAAUACAUGCAAGUCGAGCGAACGGACGAGAAGCUUGCUUCUCUGAUGUUAGCGGCGGACGGGUGAGUAACACGUGGAUAACCUACCUAUAAGACUGGGAUAACUUCGGGAAACCGGAGCUAAUACCGGAUAAUAUUUUGAACCGCAUGGUUCAAAAGUGAAAGACGGUCUUGCUGUCACUUAUAGAUGGAUCCGCGCUGCAUUAGCUAGUUGGUAAGGUAACGGCUUACCAAGGCAACGAUGCAUAGCCGACCUGAGAGGGUGAUCGGCCACACUGGAACUGAGACACGGUCCAGACUCCUACGGGAGGCAGCAGUAGGGAAUCUUCCGCAAUGGGCGAAAGCCUGACGGAGCAACGCCGCGUGAGUGAUGAAGGUCUUCGGAUCGUAAAACUCUGUUAUUAGGGAAGAACAUAUGUGUAAGUAACUGUGCACAUCUUGACGGUACCUAAUCAGAAAGCCACGGCUAACUACGUGCCAGCAGCCGCGGUAAUACGUAGGUGGCAAGCGUUAUCCGGAAUUAUUGGGCGUAAAGCGCGCGUAGGCGGUUUUUUAAGUCUGAUGUGAAAGCCCACGGCUCAACCGUGGAGGGUCAUUGGAAACUGGAAAACUUGAGUGCAGAAGAGGAAAGUGGAAUUCCAUGUGUAGCGGUGAAAUGCGCAGAGAUAUGGAGGAACACCAGUGGCGAAGGCGACUUUCUGGUCUGUAACUGACGCUGAUGUGCGAAAGCGUGGGGAUCAAACAGGAUUAGAUACCCUGGUAGUCCACGCCGUAAACGAUGAGUGCUAAGUGUUAGGGGGUUUCCGCCCCUUAGUGCUGCAGCUAACGCAUUAAGCACUCCGCCUGGGGAGUACGACCGCAAGGUUGAAACUCAAAGGAAUUGACGGGGACCCGCACAAGCGGUGGAGCAUGUGGUUUAAUUCGAAGCAACGCGAAGAACCUUACCAAAUCUUGACAUCCUUUGACAACUCUAGAGAUAGAGCUUUCCCCUUCGGGGGACAAAGUGACAGGUGGUGCAUGGUUGUCGUCAGCUCGUGUCGUGAGAUGUUGGGUUAAGUCCCGCAACGAGCGCAACCCUUAAGCUUAGUUGCCAUCACUAAGUUGGGCACUCUAAGUUGACUGCCGGUGACAAACCGGAGGAAGGUGGGGAUGACGUCAAAUCAUCAUGCCCCUUAUGAUUUGGGCUACACACGUGCUACAAUGGACAAUACAAAGGGCAGCGAAACCGCGAGGUCAAGCAAAUCCCAUAAAGUUGUUCUCAGUUCGGAUUGUAGUCUGCAACUCGACUACAUGAAGCUGGAAUCGCUAGUAAUCGUAGAUCAGCAUGCUACGGUGAAUACGUUCCCGGGUCU